UACAGAGGGGGCAAGCGUUAUUCGGAAUUAUUGGGCGUAAAGGGCGCGUAGGCGGCCUGGCAAGUGGAAGGUGAAAUCCCUCGGCUUAACCGAGGAACUGCCCUCCAAACUGCUUGGCUUGAGUCCGGGAGAGGUGAGUGGAAUUCCCAGUGUAGCGGUGAAAUGCGUAGAUAUUGGGAGGAACACCGGUGGCGAAGGCGGCAUUCUGGACCGAUAUUGACGCUGAGGAGCGAAAGCCAGGGGAGCAAACGGG
rnacentral:rRNA from 1 species